UUGAGUUUCUACCCCAUUCUUACUGGACUUUUUUCAAUCCUUUAAUUUUUUAGUUUUUUUCCAGUCAAAGUUUUUAGUUGCAUGAAAUAGAAACUAACUCUGCCUGAUUUAAGUAGGAAAAGAAUUUGCUGAGAGGCUACUGAGUAGCUCACAAAAUCAUGGAGCAGCAGGUUCAGAAAUAGUAUUUUUGAGCAGUGGCUCCGAAGGCACCGUCCUCUUCAAGAAGUUUAUCCAGAAGCCAAUGCACCCAUUGGACAUAACCGGGAAUCCUACAUGGUUCCUUUUAUACCACUGUACAGAAAUGGUGAUUUCUUUAUUUCAUCCAAAGAUCUGGGCUAUGACUAUAGCUAUCUACAAGAUUCAGACCCAGACUCUUUUCAAGACUACAUUAAGUCCUAUUUGGAACAAGCAAGUCGGAUCUGGUCAUGGCUCCUUGGGGCGGCGAUGGUAGGGGCCGUCCUCACUGCCCUGCUGGCAGGGCUUGUGAGCUUGCUGUGUCGUCACAAGAGAAAGCAGCUUCCUGAAGAAAA
rnacentral:sRNA from 1 species